UUCUAAGUCAACAAAACACCAUACAGGAUCCAGACAUCCUGUGUAUUUCCUGUCUUUAUGUGGCUUAUUCUUUUCAUAUUGUUUUAUUCUCUCUUUAAAGACUUUACUAUUUUUAAAGUAUUUUAAAGUUGAUACUCACUUUCUUUUCUUUCUUCAGAAUCUAAGCACAUUUUAAAGCAUGUUGUAACCUGUUCAGAGGUUUUCUUGGCCUGGACCUGACUUUACUAAGUGCCUGCAGCUGUUCACUUGCAGUGUUCUCUGAUGAGUCCUCUCUCUGCCCAGAAGUCCCACCUAUACCUCCUGCCUAGCUAUUGGCCGUUCAGCUUUUUAUUACAGCAAUCACGGCAAUCCAUCUUCAUACAGUGUACAAGUAUCCCACAACAGGCUAGCCUUUCCCUCAACCCAGAAUCUGCACUCUGCUUAGGUAACUGGAGAGAUCAUUUCACCAAAUGCUUUAACCUUCAUGGUUAUAAGAGGAUCUUCACCUCCAUGGAAGAAAGACAGGAAGAUAAGAGACAGCAAAAUGUUCCAUCCUGGGACCACAUCCCACAGCAAGUGCUCAUGAAAAACACUUGGAUGAUCUAAAAUGAUAUCUCCAAAUCCAAGGGUCUUGUUUCACUUUAAUUCAAAACUAUUUAAAAAUCAUAGGCAGGUACCUUCUGUCAAACCAAACACUCAACCAAGAUUUUCACCCGAAGAUGUUACACCAAAGGUUUCUCACAACCUACCAACUCCAAACCUAGAGCCAAGAAACACAACUCAGGUCACCAUCUCACCUCUAGAGGCAUCCCAAACAAGCCCCAGAAAUCUGAAGCCAUUUGACAUCUGAUUUUCUAUUCUCUGAAUGUCCCAGAAGUGUAAAGGUGUCUGUCCACAAAUGAGCCACCUCCUAGAACUUCUCAUUAGAACCAAAUGAUCCACUUGGCUAUGUUGUCCUCCUUCCCAGAGUCAGACCCCUUCCCCACCCCAUGGUUAUAAAGACCAGGAGUCCAUCAUGAAAAUCAGGAGCAUCAGGAAAUGACGUGUGUGUUCCACUUAUUGCACAGUCUAUAUGAAAUUCAAUGCUAUUGCUAAAAACUAGCUGGUCAUUUUACAUCAACAAGAUUAGGAUCUUGACUAAAUAAGCUGGCCAAAAUUAGUGGAGAACGUUUUCACGCAUCCACAGACAAACACUCAUGGAGGAAUUAUGUGUGCCAGGCUCUCCUAUGGCAUGACAGUGGAGGGGGAAGCUCUUUCCUGGUGUAUCAUUCCCCACCCGGAGGACCAAGACACACAGAGUGACCAUGAGCCAUGUAUGAGCACACGUCUUUUGAGGAGCCUGGGAACAGAAUGAGACGGAAGGGCAAGGGAGAAGGGAAGUCGUGGAGCAGGGGUGGGGGAAGGGCUUUCAGGAUGACAGUUACAGGCAAGCUGCGGCAGAUAAAGAAAGGCAUUCCAAACAGAGGGGACAGGCAAGUGUUGGCCUGUAAGCUGGAAACUGUAACCAUUCAGAGACAGAAAUGAGUAGUCUCAUAAAGAGCAUCAAAGGGAAGCUGGCUAGGGCCACAUCCUAGCUGCCUUGCCGAGGAGGUUGACCUUCAUGGAAGAGCACUGAGGCUGUUGGAGAAGCUAUAUUGGCUGCCAACAAGAACACAACUUCCACUGUGGGCCCAUAGCUCUUGCUGCCUGUCUUGUGUCCUAACUGCAGCCUCUCUCAGAGAAGCGAUGAAUAAAUAUUUCACAAUGUGAUGAAGUCACAGAUGAUACCCACGUGCACUGCGACCAAAUGAAUGAACAAUGCAUGAGAAAUUCAAUUCAGUGGUGAUGUUGCAGAGGACUAGACAGAGGUCGAAGAGGAAAAAAAAACCGAUACAGAAGACAAAUGCAUGCCAUAGGUAAGCAUUCUGGCAGUUAGUUUUAAGUACAUUAUUUCAUUAACCUUCACCAGAAAAAAAAAAUCCUAAUCUCAAUGAUAAAAAAAAUACUAUUCUUUUUUUCCAGUUUUCCUUUGAGAUGGAGUCUUACUGUGUAUGUAUCCCAGGCCUGCUGGGAACUUUAGAUUCUUCUGCCUCAGACAGACUCCCAAUCUCUAGAAUAAUAAGAUGAAUCUCGAGAGGGUCUAACACCAGAAGCCAGAACUGCCUGUGACGGCAACUGUGCUCUUUAAUGGGUCAAGCAUUGUGAAAUAGAAGGAAGGGGUCACCGUGACAGUGUGACAGAGGUCAGACCAGUUGUACUUGAGUGGAUCCUGGCUGGCGCUAAGAAGGAGAGAACAGAAGGGCACUGAGGAAGCAAUUAAUUAAAGUGGGUAUCUGCCAGAAGGAUGAGUGUGUGGAGAAAAAUGAAAGGUUACAAUCAACACUAGCACAUGAGCAGGAUGCCUUCACAGCAUCAGUUGGUACACAGUGAUGCUCUGGGGGCUUCUCGUAUUCCAGGCAGCAUCCUAAGUGCCUUAUACGUACUUUUGUUAAUCUUCCAUUCGAUUUUCCAGUUUGACUACUGCCAUGUUGUCUAAGAUGGGUUAGUGUGGUGAUUAGUGCUCAUUAUUAACACAAUCUGAACUCACCAGGGAAGAGAAUCUCAGUGAGGGACUGUUUAGCUCAGGCUGGCCUAUGGACAAGUCCGUGGGUGGCUGCCUUGAUUACCCUAAUUAAGGUGGGGAGAGACCAGCCCACUGUGGGCAGCACCAUCCCCUAAGUGGGGGUCACAACUGUGUAAGAAUAGGAAGGAGGCUGAGUGUUAGUACGAAUGUGUGCAUUUUCUCUUCUCUUGACUGAGGUUGUGAUAUGAUGAGCGACUUCAAGCUCCUGCCUUGACUUCCCCACAAUGGUGGCCUGCAACCUGGAACCGCUUUCCCAGCAAUGGCACAGAAGCAGCCCCAAAUGAAAGCAAUGACCAAGGAAUGGCAGCAGGCUGGACCAGGAGAGGGAUGAGGAGCCGAGCUGCGGGUCCUUGCUGAAGCAGUGGGAAGCACUGGGUUUAUUGAGUUACACCCCUGAAUAUAUGUCUUUUUGUUCCUAGUAGUUUGUGUGAUGAGUUGAGAGGUGAACGUGAAAGUCCUUGCAUGUCAUAGCUAACGUGAGGCCCCUGAAGAAGCACGUGUGAGUCCCCUUGAAUGACAAGCUCAACUAGCUGCUUAUUCUGGGAAAGCUGGAUGUGACUGAGAGAAAGGCCACAAAAUAGCAGUUAUUGGGCUUAGGAUCCAGGCAAAUGUUUAUGUGCUCAAUAGAUAAAUAAACAAAUAAGCAAAGUGAGCUUGUCAUUUCAAGGAAGACAGCUGAUAAAAUUUGUGGCCAGUGAUAAAACACAAACUUUCAUGCAAAAUUAGACUUUUGAGAAACUUGUAUAUCUGCUGCUGAGAACGCCACAGCUUCUCAAUCCUUAAAGACCUUGUGAUGGGACCAGUGGCUGCAUCAAAAAGAAAGAGAGAGAGAGAGAGAGAGAGAGAGAGAGAGAGAGAGAGAGAGAGAAAUAAAAUCUGAACUCUUCAUAUCACACUGUGAAAAGCAUCAACAUCUGAACAAACACCAUCCUUCAGUGCUGUGUGACUCUGCUCCUAGGGAGGUGUGAACAUACACCUACUCACCCCAUAUAGGGAACCCAUGGCAGACUAAAAUGAGGAUAGUACCAAAGCCAAACUUGGUGAACCAAUGUGUUUUAUUGGGGUUAUUUACAGGGAAUGGGUGAGGCGUUACUCACAGGCGCAGAAACAACUCCAAGACAGCUGUAUCACCAAGCCCAGCCAAGGACAGCUAACAGGUCAUGGAAGCCAGAAACCUGGAGUGCACUGCACACCUGCAGGCAGCUCCAUGGAUUGGGACAUCACUUUCAGGCAGCUCAGGUGGCCUGAGGCUCGUAGAGACAGCUUGGCUGGUCGCUGCCUUUUUCAGACAAUUCUGCUCCUCUGAGUCUCUGGGCCAGUAAUUGUCAACCUUCCUAAUGCUGUGACCCUUUAAUACAAUUCCUCAUAUUGUGGUGACCCCCAACCAAUUAAAUUAUUUGCGUUACUACCUCAUAACUGUCAUUUUGUUAUUGUUAUGAAUCAUAAUAUAAAUGUCUGUGUUUUGUAUGAUCUUAGGAGACCCCAGUGAAAGGGUCAUUCAACCCCCAAAGGGAUCAAAACCCACAGGUUGAGAACCACUGCUCUAGGCAGUCUGGCUUGUCUGAGGGUUUUCUAGGUAGCUCUCAGCCUGUCUAAAUGCCUCUGCUUAUAAGAACUUGUGGAGGGCCCUAUGAAUCUGGUCAGUUUCAGGAACUUCCUAAAACCUUUGAGUUGUUCACUUCCCUUAAGGAACUUCCCUCUAAAAUGGAAGGUUUUUCUCUUAUAGGCAAUUUUCACAACAUUUGGUGAGAUAGUAAUUUCAAAUGACCUAUAAAAUCAAAAAAUUUGCACCUAAAGUAUAAGAUAGGUAAAUGGACUGUAAGAUAAACAACAACAAAUAAUAACAGCCUCAUACUAUACAUAGUAAUAAACUUCAGAAAUUUUCAAUUGUCUCAAGUUUGGAUGUCAAAUCAAAGGAUACUCAUCAUUAUAUAAAAGGACUGAUGAACUAUUUUUAAUGUCUCUCAGCUGCAUGUCUGCAUGAAGCAGGAUUUUCUUCAUUUACCUCAUCUGAAAUAAUAUAACACAAGAGCUGAAAUGAAGAGACCGUUUUUGAGAAUGCCCCUGCCUUCUAGUAAAUCAGACACUCAAGAGAGUUACAAACUCUAAGUCAAUGAACUUUCUCACUAACUUUGCCUCUUGAAAGAAUAUUUUUCAUUAAAAAUAUAGUGUACUUACAUGAUGCAUUUAUUUGUCUAACUUUAGGUGAGUUGAUGAAUGUAUUUAAAUUUCUGAAUUUUGUGUCUAACAUAGUAAAUAUUCCCCGAAAAAGAACACUUCAGCAAACUCUCUUUGGGAUCCUCAAUAUUUUUUCCAAAUAUAAAGAGGAUUUUGAGGUGAAGCCCCUGUCGAUUUGGGGCUGGCCAGUUCAGGACACAUAGCUUGUAAAUUGAUGACGUGGAUCUGAACCCCACUCCAAGCCCUUUGCCUCCCUCACUGUGCUGGGUACAGCACAUCCAGUUUCCGACAGGCUGUAUUUGAGGGACUCACUCUCCCACAAGCCUGCUUUGGCUCACAGUCAUUCAGUUCAAGCCCCACCCACUAGAGAUUUAAAAUAAUAGUAGACAGUUAAAUGGACUGUUGUACCGAGUGAUACCGAGAGACAACCCCAAAUAACACGAUUUAACAUAACAGAGUCUGUCUUGGUCAUGCUAAGUCUGC